CAGAUUUCAGCAUUCAAUCUUUCUUCUUCCCAUUUAAUAACAAUCAUACUUCUAUUCCAUAAUUCACUUUCACAAUAUUCAGAAACUCUUAAUCUUCUUAUUCAAAGAAAAUAACAAACAAAAGAAAAGAAGUAGCACCAAGCUUACCCCGGCUCACACUAUCACAGUCUGGCCCUUACUUCCUCUCUCCCAUCCUCUUUAUGCUACCACGAGAUACCAACUACUACAUCUCUAAUGAAAAUCACUUUUCCUAACUAUUCAUCCAUUUUACCUAUUGAACUAUCUUUUCAACAGUCAUCUAUCUCUAUUU
rnacentral:lncRNA from 1 species